rnacentral:rRNA from 1 species
AUUGAACGCUGGCGGAAUGCUUUACACAUGCAAGUCGAACGGCAGCACGGGUGCUUGCACCUGGUGGCGAGUGGCGAACGGGUGAGUAAAGCAUCGGAACGUGCCCUGGAGUGGGGGAUAACGUAGCGAAAGUUACGCUAAUACCGCAUAUUCUGUGAGCAGGAAAGCAGGGGAUCGCAAGACCUUGCGCUCUGGGAGCGGCCGAUGUCGGAUUAGCUAGUUGGUGGGGUAAAGGCCUACCAAGGCGACGAUCCG